rnacentral:sRNA from 24 species
GUUAAGUGCCAACCCCAUGCCUAAAGGCAAGGGGCUUGGUGGUUGACUCCACCUGACCAGACUAUUCGUUUAGGGCAAGAGUUAAAGACCUACUCCGGGAUGCUUGCUAGUCCCGCGACCCUAGA